rnacentral:rRNA from 1 species
ACCAACAGGGAUUGCCUCAGUAACGGCGAGUGAAGCGGCAAAAGCUCAAAUUUGAAAUCUGACCUUUGGUCCGAGUUGUAAUUUGUAGAGGAUGUUUCGGGCAAGAUCCGGGCUUAAGUUCCUUGGAACAGGACGUCAUAGAGGGUGAGAAUCCCGUACGUGGUCCAGGGUCGCGCCCAUGUGAAACUCCUUCGACGAGUCGAGUUGUUUGGGAAUGCAGCUCAAAAUGGGUGGUAAAUUUCAUCUAAAGCUAAAUAUUGGCCAGAGACCGAUAGCGCACAAGUAGAGUGAUCGAAAGAUGAAAAGCACUUUGAAAAGAGAGUUAAACAGCAUGUGAAAUUGUUGAAAGGGAAGCGCUUGCGACCAGACUUGUUUGUAGGGUUCAGCCGUCGUUCUCGUCGGUGUAUUUCCCUAUCUACAGGCCAGCAUCAGUUCGGACGGAAGGUUAAAGGCCUUGGGAAUGUAGCAUCUUCCGGGAUGUCUUAUAGCCCUCGGUGUAAUGCUUCCUGCCCGGACUGAGGAACGCGCUUCGGCUCGGAUGCUGGCGUAAUGGUUCUAAGCGACCCGUCUUGAAACACGGACCAAGGAGUCUAACAUCUAUGCGAGUAUUUGGGUGUCAAACCCAUAUGCGCAAUGAAAGUGAACGGAGGUGGGAAUCUUCGGAUGCACCAUCGACCGAUCCUGAUGUCUUCGGAUGGAUUUGAGUAAGAGCAUAGCUGUUGGGACCCGAAAGAUGGUGAACUAUGCCUGAAUAGGGUGAAGCCAGAGGAAACUCUGGUGGAGGCUCGCAGCGGUUCUGACGUGCAAAUCGAUCGUCAAAUUUGGGCAUAGGGGCGAAAGACUAAUCGAACUAUCUGGUAGCUGGUUCCUGCCGA